CAGCAGCCAAAAAGGCAGCAUACGAAGGGAGGAUACCUUUUAUUUGGGUGGUAUAUAGGCAAAUGACAGCUCUGUGUAGACAAUUUUUUUUACCUACUCUUGUUCACAGCCUCUGCAACCUGGAACUUCGAAUCAGGAGGACGCCAGACUUGGAGCGGCCGCUGCAAACAUCGAAAUUCAAAACACCACCCGCUGUGUCAAUCAAAAGGCAUCUAUUGCAUCCAGUGAUGAGUCUUCUUGUAAACGCUUUCAUACCAGCAUGUCAAGGAAACGAGGCUCACCAACUGGACCUCAGAGAAGAAAAGGGGAAAGGGUGUGGGGUGUAAGUUCCUGCAAACUGGACAAAAGGUGUUCAGCUAGCUUCAGAAGUACCACGACCAAACUCACGUCGACAACUCCUCCCACUUUUACCCCUCAAGUCCCCCUACAAACGUAGAAAAGGAGCUCAAGUCCUGUGCAGAAACAUCUUGGCAGAAAAACCACAGUUUUGCAUCAAAACACUUGCAUUUCGGGCGCUUCGAUGGGGUUGCAUCAUCAGUAGAUUUACUGCUCCUCUUUUGGGCUCUUACCAACUCACUAUUGUUAAACUUCAGUUUGCAUGGUUGGAGGUGCCAGCGCACACGUUUCUCGAUGAAUUCCCCAAGAUGUUGUUUGUCAAAACGAAGGGGUACUGGCAUACGACCAAUAUUUCUGAAGCAUUCGACAUUGUCCAGAAAAUCGCUGUACAUUUUAAUGCUGCCUGGAUUAUUUGCUGGGCACCGCAGGGUAGCAUUGGUUGUGGUCUGGCAAAUGAUGCACUUGUCCCAGUUGACAUUCAAGUUACUGCAUCUAGUGGCGACCUGAAAAAAGUAGAGGAAGGAAACAUCAGGUUUUAAACUUGGAUUUAUUUAGCCUUCUGAAAUUUUGCAUUUCCGAUUGUGUGACUAACUGCUAAUAGAUGAAAGGGUGAUGGUCAUGCUUGGGG
rnacentral:lncRNA from 1 species